rnacentral:lncRNA from 1 species
GUUUCCCCCUGAGGGAAGUAUACCUGUCCUGCCAGCCUUGGUCUCUGGCAGGGAAGGUCCUUCCAACAGAGAGGGAAUUGCUUAGAAUUGACUCAACACUGCCUCCUUGCUGAAUGGAUAAUUCAAGCAAACAACUCAAGAGCUGGAUGCUGCCCAGACAGGUAGGCAGCCAGAUAAAGUGAGUGUCCAGGGAAAGAGCAGUAAGGGUCAGAAGAGAAAGAGCCUGGUGUUCUCACUGCCUCCUGCCUUCCUUAUGACUGUCUGUUCAGAAGUCCUCCUAGCAUCUUUCUUCUGCCUUCCCCUGCUCCUGUCCCUGAAACCUUUUCUUCAAAAGAAGUGGAAAAGAGGAACUGGGAACCCAUAUAGCAACAGCAUCACCUGGAAUGAAUUCCUUUAGAACAUACUGUCUUGGAAAUCUGAAGCCUGCAGGGCUGGACAGGCAAGAAGAGCAGUGAGCACUGCAUGAACCUGUAAGUAAAUCUGCAUGUGGAUGGUGUUUUGGGUUUUUUUCAGACAGAGCCUUACUCUGUUGCAUAGGCUGGAGUGCAGUGGCACGAUCUUGGCUCACUGCAACCUCUGCCUCCUGGGCUCAGGUGAUUGUCCCACCUCAACCUCUCAAGUAGCUGGGACCACAGGUGUGCACCAACAUGCGCAGCUAAUUUUUGUAGAGAUGGGGUUUCGCCGUGUUGGCCAAGCUGGUCUCGAACUCCUGGGCCAAGCAAUCGGCCUCCCAAAGUGUUGAGAUUACAGGCGUGAGCUACUGCACCAGGCCACACAUGCUUAUUUUACUCAGUCUUGCCCCUGAAUACCCGAAGGUCUAAACUUAGGAAAAAGUCAGGGGAGGGAUGAGUUUGUCAUUCUUUGGAGUCGUUAUAUUUGGGUGAGUGCUGGCACUAUGGGUAGGAUAUUAUUUAGAAGCUGAGUUGUGUGCUGAGCAAAUGUUUCUUUAAAAACCAAAGCCGUAUGAGAUCUGUUAUAGAGGCACAGUGUGGCUAAAUAGUGUGCGAUAAGAUAAGCAUAGGGCUCCUGAGGUGUUGCUGUUCUCCCACUGUAAUGAGUUUACUCUUCUUCCUAAGGAAAGUGAUCCUUUAUCACCUCUCCUCUCAAAUUCACUGGCUUGUUUCGUGAGUGUGCCUUCAUGGAAUCAUGUCUCCUUCUCUUCCCUCAGUUCUCUCCUUCCCUCCCUUACGUAUGACUCCUCCCAUAAUCCGCACACAUGGAUUGAACCAAGUGAGGGUAUUUUUCUGUUUCCUACCUCAUAGAAGGGCAUAGAGUGGACACGGUCUAAGGUUAGUUCCUGAACUGAGUACCCACAUAUGCAGAACUUUAUUUAAAGCUGCUGAAAUCUUUGUAUAACAGAUAGAUCAAUAGGACUGAAAACUACUGAUGGUUUUACUUACUUGUUGAACGUGACUAAGUUCCAUGGCACCAUUUAGAAAUUGUGUUGUAUAGUUUUCGUAUGUUGCUUAAGAAACAGUUUAGCAUAAUGGUUAAAAGCAUGGCCUCUGGAACUAGAUUGCCUCUGUAUGCCUCAGUUUCCUCAUCUGGGAAUAAUAAUAGUUCUACCUCAUGGGAUUGCUAUGAGGAUUAAAUGAUUUAAUUUAAUUAAAUGAUUUCAUACAAAACUGAAUUGUACUUGACACUUAGUACUCAGGUAUUAACUGGGACCGUUAUUAUCAUCACAGAUGUUGUUUACAAGCACUUGCCUUUGAGAUUUGUUUAGCUUUUUUAUUAAAUUACUAGCGGUAUACUAGAACAGUACGUAGGCUGGGGCCUGGAGUCAAAUUCUAGCUUUGCCUCUUAUAGUUUUGAAACUUUGAGUAAAUUACUUGAUGUGUCUGAGUUUUAAUAUUCUUAUAUGUAAUUUACUUUUAAAAAGAAUUUUGCUUAGUGUUGAUAUACACACAUUUAACACAGUUAUAGAAAUUAUUGUUUUUACUAUUGUCAUAUGAGGAAAUUCGUCCCUGGGUUGCUGUAGGGUGCUAAUGGUUAGGCAAACUCUCUUUGAAGUCUGCCUGAUCUGGCCCCUUGCAGGCAUGUACUCCGAAAUAUUUUUCAAAUGGAAAAGAAAACAGAGAACACAAUUUUCAAAAUAUCUAGAGCCCUCCAAGAAGUCUUUGUAGAGAUCUAUAAAAUCUCAAGGCAAUUUAAAGAAUAGAAAAAUGUUUUAGAAACACUAUUCUCUCCACAUCCUGGGGCAGCAGCCUUCUCCAAAGAAACAGAAAGAAGGAAAUGGAUUGCCUUAGCAAAAAAACAAAUGAAGACACUCCAAAUAACAGAAGAAUGGGAAGGCUACAGACCUUGAAGUCAGAAGAAAAUUUCCUCUCCUUGCCCCGUUUCUCCUUAAAUGGAUCACCAGUACAGUCUCUUACUUCUAGAGCCAUGUUAAGCUUUCUUCCCCAAAGUUGUAAUGUCCUUCUUUUGGUUGUGUCGUGUCCUAAAAUCCUACUCUUUGGUACAAGAUGAAGGUAUAUGAAGAGAUAAUGAAGGAAACAAAUUCAAUGUGUUUGCCAAGAACACAGUCUUUUAAAUAACUCUUAAAGGGUUCGUUUAAAACAGUGUAAUAAAUUGUGGUAAUCUAGUACACAAAGCUAGUAGGAACCUCGUUUAUUAAUAAUAUUUCAACAUUGAGCAGUAGAGGGCAGCACUAUCCUUCUUUUGCAAAAUGUUGAGCACUCUUGAGAAGGAAAAUAAAGGCAAAGCUCCUGACCCCUGUGUCUGUGUUUACUUUUACCAUUAAAAAAAAACAAAAAAUUGGAGUAUUUUUAUUAUGGUUUAGGUGAUUAUGUAUAAAGAAUGUCAGAGCCUGCAUUACCUGGAAGUGGUGCACCAGGUAAUGCAAAAAACACGGAAGGUUUGAGGUCCCCCACUCAGGAUAUGGGUUCUGUCUAGUAAAGAUAAACAGUAGCUUGACCCUGGGUAAUCAGAUAGGGUUAUUGUAUGAACAGACCUAAUGCUCCUGCACGUUCUGGAUAGAAGUCAAUCUACUGAAAUAGCAGGAUGUAGUUUUAAAAAAUGUGUGUAACUCAUAUAGUCUUAGCCCUGAUAAGUGCUUCUAAAUUCUUAUUCACUGCCUUUAUUCUGCUGUGUUAGUGUUGCUCUCUGUCAUACGUGGGUCAGGUCAGAACUAGCUCAAAUACAGUAUGUGUAUUAUGACUUUAAGGAGUGGUGUCAGACAAGAUGGGUAAAGAAUGUCUUUCAUGGGACUGCAGUUGGCUAAAUGGCUGUGUAUAAGUAGUGAAAUUGAAGCCUUGUAUGCUCGUCGUCAUUCUAUCACAGUAUGAUUUGAGUUUCCCUAACCGGUAAACAGCAAGAAAAAAUGAUCUGUUAUUUUUUACUAAAGUUACUUGAUGCUCUUUAGCAAGCUGACAGAAUAAUUCUAAUUUUAGCAAAUACAAAACCAUGGUAAUCCUAGCACAUUUGGAUUCUGUUUAACCCUGAAAACUCUUUUGGCAGCAAAUCUUCAAUGCCAAUUUAGAUAAAUCCCACUAGGAAUAAGCACUGAAAGACGUUGAGUCUAGUUCCCAGCUCUGCCAUGUGAAGUUGGGCAAAUUACAGUCUCUGAGCUUUUAUUUCAUCUGUUAAAUGGAGAUAAUACCUCCUAGAUUUAUUAAAAGGGUCAAUUUAGAAAAUAUGUAUUAAAAUGGUUUGAAAGCCAUUUAAGUACCUAAUGAAUAUUUCUAUCACUGUAGCCCAAAAAGAUUCCUGCCUAGAAGACUUUAUGUCUCUUCUCCUCAUUUGGUAUCAUUCUAUUGCCUGAGAUUGUUAAUUAACUUUUAUGUAUACUCAAUAUUUUCUCCCAACUUGGUUGCUAGUUCCUUGAGAACUGAAACCAUCAAUUGCACUUCUUGGUAUCCUCCACAAUAAGGUAUCUAGGUACUCAAAUAUUUGUUGGUUGAUUAAAAACAUAAACCACAAGACAUAAUUAACUCUUUUUAAAAUUGUGGUAAAAAAACAUGUAUUUACCAUCUUAAUCAUUUUUAAGUAUACUGUAUAUUAGUGUUUACUAUAUGCACAUUGUUGUGCAACACAUCUCUAGGACUUUUUCAUCCAGAAUUCUUUUUUUUUGAGACAGAGUCUUGCUGUGUCGCCCAAGCUGGAGUUCAGUGGCACCAUCCUGGCUCACUGCAACUGCUGCCUCCCAGGUUCAAGUGAUUCUCCUGCCUCAGCCUCCCGAGUAGCUGGGAUUACAUGUGCCUGCCACCACGCCUGGCAAGUUUUUGUAUUUUUAGUAGAAAUGGUGUUUUACCAUGUUGGCCAAGACUGGCCUAGAACUCCAGACCUCAAGUGAUCCACCCGCCUCAGCAGCCCAAAGUGGUGGGAUUACAGGCAUGAGCAACUGUGCCUGGCCUAGCCAUUUUCUAUAAACCUGAAAAUAGAUGCCAGAAAAGAAGGUGCCGCUAUAAAAUGCUUUCUUGAGUGAUUUAUGUCUAACAUACAAUUAAACAUUUAUGAGAAGGAAAUUAUCAGGUUAAAAUAUAAACUCACUUGCCAAUUAUUUGAUUUUCAGGAUAUCUGACUUUUGUUAAUUACUGAAAAUAAAGUAUUAUUUCUAAUCACUA